UGGGGAAUAUUGCACAAUGGGCGCAAGCCUGAUGCAGCCAUGCCGCGUGUAUGAAGAAGGCCUUCGGGUUGUAAAGUACUUUCAGCGGGGAGGAAGGGAGUAAAGUUAAUACCUUUGCUCAUUGACGUUACCCGCAGAAGAAGCACCGGCUAACUCCGUGCCAGCAGCCGCGGUAAUACGGAGGGUGCAAGCGUUAAUCGGAAUUACUGGGCGUAAAGCGCACGCAGGCGGUUUGUUAAGUCAGAUGUGAAAUCCCCGGGCUCAACCUGGGAACUGCAUCUGAUACUGGCAAGCUUGAGUCUCGUAGAGGGGGGUAGAAUUCCAGGUGUAGCGGUGAAAUGCGUAGAGAUCUGGAGGAAUACCGGUGGCGAAGGCGGCCCGCUGGACGAAGACUGACGCUCAGGUGAGAAAGCGUGGGGAGCAAACAGG
rnacentral:rRNA from 1 species